GAUGAACGCUGGCGGCGUGCCUAACACAUGCAAGUCGAACGGACUUACAUUGAAGCCUAGCGAUAUGUAAGUUAGUGGCGGACGGGUGAGUAACGCGCGGGUAACCUGCCUUGUACUGGGGGACAACAGUUGGAAACGACUGCUAAUACCGCAUAAGCGCACAGCUUCGCAUGAAGCAGUGUGAAAAACUCCGGUGGUACAAGAUGGACCCGCGUCUGAUUAGCUAGUUGGUGAGGUAACGGCCCACCAAGGCGACGAUCAGUAGCCGGCCUGAGAGGGUAAACGGCCACAUUGGGACUGAGACACGGCCCAAACUCCUACGGGAGGCAGCAGUGGGGAAUAUUGCACAAUGGGGGAAACCCUGAUGCAGCAACGCCGCGUGAGUGAAGAAGUAUUUCGGUAUGUAAAGCUCUAUCAGCAGGAAAGAAAAUGACGGUACCUGACUAAGAAGCCCCGGCUAACUACGUGCCAGCAGCCGCCGUAA
rnacentral:rRNA from 1 species